UACGAAGGGGGCUAGCGUUGCUCGGAAUCACUGGGCGUAAAGCGCACGUAGGCGGACUCUUAAGUCAGGGGUGAAAUCCUGGAGCUCAACUCCAGAACUGCCUUUGAUACUGGGAGUCUUGAGAUCGGGAGAGGUGAGUGGAACUGCGAGUGUAGAGGUGAAAUUCGUAGAUAUUCGCAAGAACACCAGUGGCGAAGGCGGCUCACUGGCCCGAUACUGACGCUGAGGUGCGAAAGCGUGGGGAGCAAACAGG
rnacentral:rRNA from 1 species